UACGGAGGGGGCUAGCGUUAAUCGGAAUUACUGGGCGUAAAGCGCGCGUAGGCGGCUUUGCAAGUCGGGUGUGAAAUCCCCAGGCUUAACCUGGGAACUGCAUUCGAGACUGCAUUGCUAGAGUAUGGGAGAGGGAAGUGGAAUUUCCGGUGUAGCGGUGAAAUGCGUAGAUAUCGGAAGGAACAUCAGUGGCGAGAGCGACUUCCUGGACCAAUACUGACGCUCAUGUGCGAAAGCGUGGGGAGCAAACAGG
rnacentral:rRNA from 1 species